rnacentral:lncRNA from 11 species
GAGGCUCAGAGGGCGGACGGAAAGGGUUCUCGGGCUCCCAUUCCUCCUGCCCGCAGGGCCUGUUCUUGCUGCUGGCCUGCACACCCCCUCCUCCUCCUCCCAGGCCUGCGGCCUCUCGCCCGCCUUGCCAGCCUUGCCGGCUGCUCGCCUGGCCGCGAUGCCUGCUCCUGCCUGACCAGUGCCUGCCCCCACCUGGCCACAAUGCCUGCUUCCCCGCCACCUUCGCCUUCCCUUCCGCCCCGAAGGCGGGAUGGCGCCGCUGGACCAUGGUGCGCUUCUCCGUCCUCUCCAAGGCAAGGAAGGAGGGAGGCGGGGGAGCCAAGCCAGCAAGCAGUAGCAGCAGCAGCAGCCCCCUCCUCUGCCUCCUCCUCCUCCUCGGCUGGGGCGAAGGCCAGAUAGCUCCGACAUCAUGUGUGAUCCUGAGGUCCUGUUCUGAUCCACUGUAUUUAAAAGUUUCCAUAUCAGCUCUAAUGAGGUGGGUUUUAUUUUUUCUGUUUUUAACAUCUGACAAUUGAAUGAGUGACAUAUGUUGUGGCUAUACCAAAUCUUCAAUUUGAGCUCACAUGCUUUGUCAAUUAAGCUUAACUUUUGCCUAGUGUUCUUAGAUUAUUUUCUCAUAGAGUAUUCUUUCUGAUUUUGCUACUUUAAAACGUGAGCUGAAUCUUUCCCAUUAGUUCAGUCUUCAAUUCCAAGAAAUGUUCUUGUAUCUGGCCAUUCUGUUUCAAACACAGAUCUUCUUUCUUAAGGAUUGCAAAACUGGACUUUUGUCCCAGACCAUCCUAGCCAAAGAUUAACAGAAAUUGUCUCAUUAUCUUUCCCUUCCUUUUAAUAACUUG